UACGGAGGGUGCAAGCGUUAUCCGGAUUCACUGGGUUUAAAGGGUGCGUAGGUGGGUUGGUAAGUCAGUGGUGAAAUCUCCGAGCUUAACUUGGAAACUGCCAUUGAUACUAUCAAUCUUGAAUACUGUGGAGGUCAGCGGAAUAUGUCAUGUAGCGGUGAAAUGCUUAGAUAUGACAUAGAACACCAAUUGCGAAGGCAGCUGGCUACACAAAUAUUGACACUGAGGCACGAAAGCGUGGGGAUCAAACAGG
rnacentral:rRNA from 1 species